rnacentral:sRNA from 1 species
GUCGACCGUGACUGGAGGUGAUGUAGAACUGAGAGACUUUGAAAGAAUUGUUGCGCAAAAGACGCUAUAUAAAAUUACUAAAGGGAGGCGAGGACCUGAUGUGCCUGACACUAAAGAGAAAAAAGACUUGCAUCCAAAUGUAUCAGAUAGCACACCUCAAUACACCUCCACCAGGCUGUAAUAGCAAGACCGUCUUUCAUGAGGAUGUAGAGUCCAUUGUAAGAGACAGUGUCAGAUAUGACUAAGAAAAAGA